rnacentral:rRNA from 1 species
CUACGGGUCGCUCCAGUGAGGAAUAUUGCACAAUGGGGGAACCCUGAUGCAGCAACGCCGCGUGGAGGAUGACGCAUUUCGGUGUGUAAACUCCUUUUAUAUGUCAAGAAAAUGACGGUAGCAUAUGAAUAAGCACCGGCUAACUCCGUGCCAGCAGCCGCGGUAAUACGGGAGGGUGCAAGCGUUACUCGGAAUCACUGGGCGUAAAGGACGCGUAGGCGGGGUGGAAAGUCAGGUGUGAAAUCCUACAGCUUAACUGUAGAACUGCACUUGAAACUUCUAAUCUAGAGUAUGGGAGGGGGAGAUGGAAUUAGUGGUGUAGGGGUAAAAUCCGUAGAUAUCACUAGGAAUACCUAAAGCGAAGGCGAUCUCCUGGAACAUUACUGACGCUAAGGCGUGAAAGCGUGGGGAGCAAACAGGAUUAGAUACCCCGGUAGUC